rnacentral:rRNA from 1 species
UCUGACCUCAAAUCAGGUAGGACUACCCGCUGAACUUAAGCAUAUCAAUAAGCGGAGGAAAAGAAACUAACAAGGAUUCCCCUAGUAACUGCGAGUGAAGCGGGAAAAGCUCAAAUUUGAAAUCUGGCAGUCUUUUUUUUCUUCUUUGGCUGUCCGAGUUGUAAUCUAGAGAAGUGCUUACCUGCACUG